ACAGCUUGAACAAAGUAAGUUUUGUCGAUUGCCAAGCUAGAGCUUUUCAGGAAUUGAGAGCUGCAAUGAAGUCUGUCAAAAAUGAAGUGUUAAAAACAAAAAGAAGCUACUUAGAGGAUUUCAAGUACUUUGGUGCUGAGCUUUCAAAUGGUAAAGUGGCUGAAACAAAAGUUCUCAAGCAUUGA